GCGCUAUGGCAUCGGUGUCGGCAAGCCCGGCUUCGAGUGGUCGGGUGUGAAGACGAUCUCGGCAAAGAAGGAGUGGCCGGCAUGGACGCCGCCGCCGGAAAUGCUCAAGCGCCGUCCUGAUCUGCCGCGCCACAUGGAAGGCGGUCCGGAAAAUCCGCUCGGCGCCCGCGCAAUGUAUCUCGGCUCGACGCUGUACCGCAUUCACGGNNNNNNNNNNACCAUCGGCACUGCGGUGUCGUCGGGCUGUAUCCGGAUGCGCAAUGAAGACGUGAUUGAUC
rnacentral:misc_RNA from 1 species